CAUUGCUGGAAGCCACAGGAAUGUAGGAGCACAGAGUCUCUUUAUUUGGCUCAGCAGCAUAACAUAUGGAGUCUUAGAGCAUCUUCAAUUCUUCUGCAAAAGAGGAUUCUUGGAUGAGAAGUGAAAUGUUGUCAAAGAAAAAAAUCAAGAAAUCCCAGUUGCCUUUUGGAAAAAGCACCUUUGGGAAGAAGCUGCACAUUUCCAAGCAGUCCUACUUAACAGCUUUCCUUUGAGACAUAGCAAAGCAGUAGGCAUCCUGUUUCCUUUUCAUCUUAUGACAUCUGGAGCUGCUGUGAGAAAUCCCCCUCCACAAUUGAAUAUUCUGUAAUGUUUCCCCCCUUAAGUUGACAGCAUCCAAGAAGAACUCCGAGGGUCUUGUCCUCACAGAGCUUACAGACAGACAAGAGUGGGCUAAAACCAGCAAUAUGUGACCAGAUUUCUACUUGUUAAAGGAGCUUUCCUAUUAUUCUCCUUGCUUUACCAUUUCACAAAACCUCUUCAAUUCACACUCUAAGUGUCAUGUCCUCCUCCAGAGUGGGUUUGGAAGAUACACAGGAGACAGAGAAAUCUAAGUCUGCUGGCAGAUGUUGUUUUGUCAGCAGAAAGAUGCCAUUGGAAACAACUUGUGCUUUUAGUUUCCUACAAAUUAUGCCUUUUAUUUUCACUUUUCUUUUUAAAAUGUCAACACUUUGAUUCAUUAAUGUUCCUUUGUUUAAAGACUUAAUCAAUUCUGCUUAACAUUAUCUUAUUUACCUGUUACACUGUAGGACAUAUAAUUACUGAUCUAACAAAGGGGAGAAAUUGGAACAAAAUAAUCUACAAAUCAAUAAAUAAAGCACUAUUUUCA